GGGGCAACCCUGGCGGCGAGCGGCGAACGGGUGAGUAACACAUCGGAACGUACCCAAUUGUGGGGGAUAACACAUCGAAAGAUGUGCUAAUACCGCAUAAGUCCUGAGGGAGAAAGCGGGGGAUCGCAAGACCUCGCGCGAAUGGAGCGGCCGAUGUUCGAUUAGCUAGUUGGUGGGGUAAAGGCCUACCAAGGCGACGAUCGAUAGCUGGUCUGAGAGGACGACCAGCCACACUGGAACUGAGACACGGUCCAGACUCCUACGGGAGGCAGCAGUGGGGAAUUUUGGACAAUGGGGGCAACCCUGAUCCAGCCAUUCCGCGUGAGUGAAGAAGGCCUUCGGGUUGUAAAGCUCUUUCGGCAGGAACGAAAAAGGUGCGGCUAAUACCCGCACUCCAUGACGGUACCUGAAGAAGAAGCACCGGCUAACUACGUGCCAGCAGCCGCGGUAAUACGUAGGGUGCGAGCGUUAAUCGGAAUUACUGGGCGUAAAGCGUGCGCAGGCGGUUUUGUAAGACAGCUGUGAAAUCCCCGGGCUCAACCUGGGAACUGCGGUUGUGACUGCAAGACUUGAGUGUGGCAGAGGGGGGUGGAAUUCCACGUGUAGCAGUGAAAUGCGUAGAGAUGUGGAGGAACACCGAUGGCGAAGGCAGCCCCCUGGGUCAACACUGACGCUCAUGCACGAAAGCGUGGGGAGCAAGCAGGAUUAGAUACCCUGGUAGUCCACGCCCUAAACUAUGCCAACUAGGUGUUGGGAAAGGAGACUUUCUUAGUGCCGUAGCUAACGCGUGAAGUUGGCCGCCUGGGGAGUACGGUCGCAAGAUUAAAACUCAAAGGAAUUGACGGGGACCCGCACAAGCGGUGGAUGAUGUGGAUUAAUUCGAUGCAACGCGAAAAACCUUACCUACCCUUGACAUGUCAGGAAUCCCGGAGAGAUUUGGGAGUGCUCGAAAGAGAACCUGAACACAGGUGCUGCAUGGCUGUCGUCAGCUCGUGUCGUGAGAUGUUGGGUUAAGUCCCGCAACGAGCGCAACCCUUGUCAUUAAUUGCCAUCAUUUAGUUGGGCACUUUAAUGAGACUGCCGGUGACAAACCGGAGGAAGGUGGGGAUGACGUCAAGUCCUCAUGGCCCUUAUGGGUAGGGCUUCACACGUUAUACAAUGGUCGGUACAGAGGGUUGCCAACCCGCGAGGGGGAGCCAAUCCCACAAAGCCGAUCGUAGUCCGGAUUGGAGUCUGCAACUCGACUCCAUGAAGUCGGAAUCGCUAGUAAUCGUGGAUCAGCAUGUCACGGUGAAUACGUUCCCGGG
rnacentral:rRNA from 1 species